CUUGCCUGGGCUGGAAUGCAGUAGUGUAAUCAUGGCUCACUAGCCUUGACCUUCUGGGUUCAGGUGAUCCUCCCAUCUCAGCCUCCUGAAUAGCUGGGAAUACAGCCCCCAAGGACUGGGAUGAUCAAUACUGGAAACCUGUGCUUUAGUUCUUCCACCUCUGCUGCUGCUAUGCUGUGUGACCUCAGGCUGUCUCCGUUACCUCGACACCUGUAGGACUGGGCCCACCGGGAGCACCAUGUGGAGAACAGAGACAAAUUGGAGUGCCUUGGGGAGGAAGGAGGAGAGCACAGUCUCUGAGUCAGCCAUGAGGCAGAGCAAAUACAAGUGGUCAUGCAGGAAGAAGAGUGUGCUGGUUCUGCGGGGUCCCAAGAGGGAGAUGUACGGGGGUUGUGCUUUGUUCAAUAUGACAACACUACCGAUGGUUUAGUUCUCACUGCAUGAGCUUUACAUUGGUGUAUCUUUCCAGCCUUGACACUAUCCUGCAGGGUAAAACAACUGUCCCCCAUCAUAAAAAAUGAAGGUAACAGUGCAUGUUUUCCCCUCAGCCUGGGACAGCUUCACCAGGCAAAUUCCUGCUCAUUUUCCAGGCCACCUCCCUGGAGAAGUCCUUCCUCAACCCCAAGAACACAUUGAGUUCUCUGUCUUCUGUUCCCAUGGGACCCUGCACUCACCCCUCCUAGCUCUUGCUGUAACAGUAGACACAUGAUUUUGGUGUAAAUAUGGACAGGACAGGAGGCAGGGCUGGACACUGCUACAUGCCCCAGAACAGUGCCUGUCCUAUGGUAUCCAAGGAAUAAUUAUCUAACAAGUGAGAUGGAGCAGGGAACCCUCUUAGGGGCCCUGCAGCACCGCCCCCACCAAGCAUGGAAAUAAAAUCUUGAGUUUCUUCAAGGGAAAUUCCAGGCACCUAGCUAGCCCUGAGAAGUAAAUAAGCAAGCUGAUAAGAAGGUAAUAGUAACUUAAAACAACAGCCAAGGAAGCUAGAAUCAUGGGAUGUUUGAUUCCCUACAGAAAUUAAAGAUAACAUCUUCACAUAUGAACCAGGGUUCUUUUUCAGAAACCUGGACCCACACCAAACAGAUGUGCUGGCAUGCAGACCUCAGAUAAGAGGGAACUGCAGGCUGAACUCUGACCGCAGUUCCAGUUCUUUGUUCUAAAUUUAUUCCUAGGAGGCCUGGAAGAAGCCAUACCCACAAGCCAGAGCUAACAUUCUUUUCUGCUGACCCUAAAUUUUAAAACAAAGCUUCUCUUCCUUACCCAAUUGCAAAGCAGAAACUCUCUGAAAUCUACCUAUGACUAUAAGCCCCCACCCACUUCAAGAUAGCCUGCCCCUUUGGGCUGAACCAAUGUGUAGCCUCCAUACAAUGACUUAUAACUUUGCCUGAAACUUCCGCUUUCCUGAAAUUUACCCCUGCCUUUAAAAACCCUUGUUUGCAAGCCACUGGAGAGGCGGGGUGUUAAGCGAGAACUGCUCAGUUCUCCUUGCUUGGUACUCUGAAAAUAAACA